CAGAAGUUAGAACCAAUUUCGCAAAUUUCUUAUUGCAAAACUUUUCCGAAAUUGAAAUGCUGAAUAAUUGUGAAAUAUGUAAUAGGCUUCCAUCCAACUUCUAGUUAACUGAGAACUGCCAGAUGCCACUUUAAAUGUGAAUAUUUAUAACUCUUGACUAACGACUAUAUUUAGACGAGAUCCGAACAGAUUUAAAUAAAGAACACAUAUUAACUCCCGUAUCUUUUCGAUAGGAAGCACUAUAUCGUUCAUUUUCGAAGAAAGAGCAAUUUUGAAUAAAAGGUCGAAUGCCACCAAAAAGAUUGUAUCACAAGAGAAACAAGCAAAACAUAAUAAGAAAGAAGGUUUUUAAAAAAAGAGAGCUACAUUCAGUGCAUUGAACAAUGUAGGUUUAACAAAAAAAUGCGACACGUGGAUCAUUCACAUAUUCAGCGUCAAAUUCGGAAAACGAACUGUGGCUGCAACAAAAUUUAAUAAAAAUUUACUUACGCGUUAUUAAAUAGAACGCUUAUAGCAGUAUUUUGCUAUUUUAAUAGCAACUUGCUAGUUUUGUUACAAAAACAAUUUUUGAGGUACUGGUGGUAGAGGUUCAAAUAGCUACAGGCUGUAUCCGCUACUAAAGGUAAUCAAACUGUAUGAAUACAAAAAGCGAGUUGAGAGAACAUUAAAAUGCAUGUGUAUUAAACGCACUAACAAUUAAAUUUCUAACUUGAAUACUAACGAAUUUCACCUUCUUCACUAGAUUCUGCAUCAUCAACAAUAUUUUUAACAGCCGGUUGUGUAGCGGUAACAUGAGAGAUUGAAUUUUCCUGUACAUCCUGCAUCGUAUUAAUUUCAUUCCUAUUACUUUUUGACGCUAAGUCAGCAGAAUAUUCCAACCUUCCAUCUUCGUAUCCGCUAUGUGGUCGGGCACUAUUCGCUAAAUAACUUUCAUCUUUACCGACAUCAUAAUAACCUCUUCUGUUUUGGUAUUGCUUUUCCAAUUCCCGUUUUUCUCGAAGCCGUCUUAUAUAUUUGUCAAAAGCAGCCAUCCUGUGUUCCUCGGAAUGGAGCGCAGCAAAUUCCGGUAGAAUAGAAAUUAAAGGUCUAAUUUCAUCGUAAGAAGCAUCGGCAGAAAUUGGAGGUUUAAGGUAUUUAAUGGCACUUCUGAGAUUAUCAAUUUUCCUUCGAAUGCGUCGUUCAUCAGCACGCUUUUCCUCAGCUUUUUUGUGGAUCGCUUUAUCACGUAAUCGAUUAACAACUUCUUCAAUAAGGUCUUCAGUUACUGCCUCACUUUCCUCUCGAUCUUUAAGCUUUUCUGAUAACCUUGCUAUAAUUUCAGGAAUAUUAGAUGUGUCAUCCACAGAUAUUUGCAAUACUUCAAGACAGUCCAAAACCAAAUUACGCUUUUCCCGAUACAUAUUCUCCAAAUCAACGAUCGUAUCCCAAAAUAAAUCUAAUGGUGUAGAGCCAGAUUGCCCUAGUAAGUUAAGAUAUCUUGG